rnacentral:rRNA from 1 species
UACGUAGGGUGCGAGCGUUAAUCGGAAUUACUGGGCGUAAAGCGUGCGCAGGCGGUUCGUUGUGUCGGCGGUGAAAUCCCCGGGCUCAACCUGGGAAUGGCCGUUGAAACUGGCGAACUGGAGUGUGGCAGAGGGGGGUGGAAUUCCGCGUGUAGCAGUGAAAUGCGUAGAUAUCAGGAGGAACACCGGUGGUGUAGACGGCUCUCUGGACCGUAACUGACGCUGAGACACGAAAGCGUGGGUAGCAAACAGG